UAGGGAAUAUUGCAAAAUGGGCGAAAGCCCGAUGCAGCAACGCCGCGUGGGCGAUGAAGGCCUUCGGGUCGUAAAGCCCUUUUUGAGGGGAUGAGGAAGGACAGUACCCUCAGAAUAAGCCUCGGCUAACUACGUGCCAGCAGCCGCGGUAAAGCGUAGGAGGCGAGCGUUAUCCGGAUUUACUGGGCGUAAAGCGCGUGCAGGCGGAUUGGAGAGUUGGAUGUGAAAGCUCCCGGCUUAACUGGGAGAGGUCGUUCAAUACUUCCAGGCUUGAGUGCAGUAGAGGGAAGUGGAAUUCCGGGUGUAGUGGUGAAAUGCGUAGAUAUCCGGAGGAACACCAGUGGCGAAAGCGGCUUCCUGGACUGUAACUGACGCUCAGACGCGAAAGCUAGGGUAGCAAACG
rnacentral:rRNA from 1 species